rnacentral:misc_RNA from 1 species
AAUAAAGUUAAUAGAACUGCCAGUUGAUGUAUGUCUGUAUGUAAUUCUACUCUGUGAUCAAUCAGUCAUCAGUCCAUUAACCAUUAUCAACUAUAUACUCCCAGUACAUACACAUAUAUCUCAUACUACUACUACUACUACUACCACUACCACCACCAAUAAGUCGAAAUUCAGUCGAAAUUAUAGGUACUAUAUAGUAUGUAUUCCGUAAUUGUCUGCCGUACAACCAAUUGGUAUUAGUCUUUCUCUUUAUCUCUCUGUCGCGUCUGUCCGAACAGUAUCUGCCUUAAGUAUCUGCAAAUUGUAGUAGCUUAGUGUGUAUGUAAUUCUAUAUACAUAAAGGAGCUACUGACUAUAUAUACCACUCAUAUCCUGCCGCCUCCUGCAAUCUCCUUGUAUGUAUAUACACUUACAUACACAUAAUCGUAUAUAUGUAUCAAAUCCAACUUCCUGUACGAGUACUAUAUGUAAAUACACGCCACUACAACUACACUCAUUGCAUAAACACACACACACCCCUCCCCCAAAUCGUACCGAUCGUAUUUAGAGUUAGUUAAUACAUAUAAUACCUUAAAAAUAGUUCGUUUCUUUUUGAGAACUCAGAACCAUAUGUGUAUUAAUUCUUAUGUUAUUCCCCGAUCUUCACGCCACAGAUGUGCAACGGGCGAGGCAUGGCCAAACAUAAUGCUGGCCUGCCUCAAGGGCAAAGCCUGUGACGAGGACGCCGAGAAGGGCCCGGGCGAGUACUGCGGAUCGACGCUGGCCUACGCCUACUUCGUAUCGUUUAUAUUCUUUUGUUCGUUUCUAAUGUUGAAUCUGUUCGUCGCCGUCAUCAUGGAUAAUUUUGAUUAUCUCACAAGGGACUCCAGUAUAUUGGGUGCUCAUCACUUAGACGAAUUUGUGCGCAUAUGGGCGGAAUAUGAUCCAAAUGCGACUGGUAAAAUACACUACACGGAAAUGUACGACAUGCUUAAGAAUAUGGAUCCACCGCUGGGAUUUGGUAACAAGUGUCCCAAUCGGCUGGCCUACAAAAAACUGAUCAGAAUGAAUAUGCCGCUGGACGAUGAGCUGAGAGUCCAGUUUACCACAACGUUGUUCGCUUUGAUUCGGGAGAAUCUAAGCAUUAAGAUGCGAGCGCCUGAGGAGAUGGACCAGGCGGACAUGGAGCUCAGGGAAACCAUCACGAACAUCUGGCCAUUGCAGGCGAAGAAGAUGCUGAAUCUGCUGGUGCCACCGCUCGAUCAGCUGAAUAAGGGGAAGCUUUCAGUUGGUAAAAUCUACGCAGGUUUCCUCAUACUGGAGUCCUGGCGUAACACGAGGUUCGGCCAGAUUGAUUCGGGCAUGCCGAACUGGAAGGAGCGGAAGAAGCCGGAAGACGAUGACGAGCGUAAAUAUAGCCCAACGGCCGUCGAGGAGCCGAAACAAUCAUUCUUUAACUGCCUGCUCGAUAUGGCCGCCCUCGACAAAGGAGGAUCGCGUCAGAAUUCCAUAAGCUUCGAGGCGAAUGGGGAAGGAGCCGCCAACUCACAGACACAUUUGUUAGCGAGCACGCACCAUCACCACCACGCAAACGGUGAUGCCGAACACAACAGUUUGGCAACACUAGCACGGCGGAGUACGAUCAGAAAGCGAUCAGUUAGAAACAAAAAGGUGAAUAAGUUUGAUAAACUCCAAGCGAUGCUGGAACUGCAAGAUGCGUCUAGACGACCUUCGCAGGAGUCGCUUACCGGUGCCGAUGCUGGCCAUUUACAUCCUGGACAUUCGUACAUGAACGGCCAUCGGCGAUCGCCUAGUUUAAGGCACAAUGGCUCGCCACUUGCCAGAUCUCCAAGUCCUCGACGACGUGGCCAUCAAUACAUACAUCAUGAUAUCGGGUUCUCCGAUACCGUAUCUAAUGUUGUAGAGAUGGUCAAGGAGACACGUCAUCCUAGGCAUGGCAACAACCAUCCGCGGUAUCCAAGAGGUUCAUGGUCAGCAUCGACAAGUCCGGCCCGUUCGCCUUCGCCUUCUCGUUAUGGUGGUCAUUUGUCUCGCAGUAAACGCACUCAACUGCCUUAUCCCACAUAUGGGACAACAAGUCUAUGUCAAAGGUCACGAUCGCCGAGUCCCGCUCGACUUCAGGAGAUGCGUGAACGAGACAGACUUGGUUAUGGGAUUGAUAUGGGUGGCACGCAUGUGCAGCAUAGCUACCCAACGCUAGCCUCCCGUCGUGCCGGAAUUGGACGACGCCUACCACCGACUCCAAGCAAACCGUCAACACUGCAGCUCAAGCCAACCAACAUUAAUUUUCCCAAGCUGAAUGCGAGUCCAACUCACACGCACCACUCAACGCCCCACAGUGUUCACUCGCUGCCGCAUCAUCGUGACCUGCUGCGGGACCCUAGAGAUAUGUAUUAUAGUAGUAGAGACCGCGAGAGGGAUCGCGAACGCCUUAGGGAUCGAGAUCGGGAUCGGGAUCGCCUGCACGAGUACGACCUGCGCUUCGAAUACAGAGAUCGGGAGCGAGAGUUGUAUGAGCGGGAGCGUGAUCGCGAGAGAGAGGUGGAAAGAGAAAGACUGGAAUAUAUAGCACCGCUGUCGUUUGAACAAGCGCUGGCUAUGGGCCGAACAGGUCGUGUACUGCCAUCUCCAGUUCUUAAUGGUUUUAAGCCAAAGAGCGGACUUAAUACUCGACACUCCGAUUCCGACGAGGAGGACUGGUGCUAGCAAAGGCUUUGAUUGCGAUCGCGUAAUCGAAAGGAUCAGAUCUGGGUAUAACAUCAGGCCAUAUGCUCAUCGUAUUCAGCACCAAAUUUAGAUCACAAUUUUGAUACGAUACGACGCAUAAAUCAACACCAACGCCAAUACCAACACUUACACCAACAGCCACAACAAUAUACACCAAUCAAUCAUCGAUAUCAAGAAAUUGGCUGAAGAAGAAGAAAGCUUACACGAAUCAACAAACCCAAAUCGACAACCGCAAUCGCAACGAGCAAAUGAUGAUCAGCAAAUACAACAGCUACUAGUAACACAACAACAACAACAGCAACAUGAAUGGCUACCAUGCUGCCACAAGCCGUACGAAUCCUCACUGAUGGCAAUCUCAUUGCCAGAAACAAGAACAACCUCGCCCCACUUCUAUUAUGAAGAAUACAUAGGAACUAUACCACGGACUAGGUCUAGGACUAGGACAACAGCAAUCGACACUGCAACAACAACACCAAGGACAACAAGAAAUGAAAAUGAAGCAAUGAUAUUAAGUGUACCAAUUACAAUAACAACACCAGUAGCUAUUAAAAAGAUCUAUUCUGAUAAUGACAUUAAAUAUAAUGCUAUUUCCGAUCUACAUGAUGGUUGGAUAGAAACACCAGCAGCAUCAGGUGCCCAUCAUUAUCACCAGCCAGAAGAACUACUACUACAACCACAAGAGCAAUCACAGCCGCAGCGAACACAGCAACCACAGCAGCAGCCGCAUCCACAGCAACAUCACCCGCACCAUCCGCUGUAUUCGUAUCAUACGCUAUAAGGGAAGGGGGAUGAUGAUGAUGAUGAUGAACAGAAGCCAGAACCAGAAACCGCUGAAAGUGUAACUUUAAUUGUAACUGAAACUGAAAUGAGGUGUAAAAAGUACGAGAGAUCAAGGAAUAGGAGUUAGAAGAUCGCUAAGUGUAGGAGUAAGGUGUAAAAGGAGGAUAGGGAAAAGAAUAUGGAUAUGAAAAUGAAUAUAGGUAUAGGAAUAGCAACAAACUCAAUGUCAGAUAUGAAUGAUAUGAUAUGAUGAUAUGAUAUGAUAGAGUGUAUUUAUUUUAUUGUACUAAAUGCCUAAGAAACCAAACAAGCAAAAGGGAACUAUAUUUCGAAAAGCAUAACAUACUUAGAUUGUAGGUCUACAAUAUAGGUAGUAAAUAUUGUAGGGGUACUCGCAUACAUUAUACAUUGUAGGUUUAUCUAGGACAUAGCUCGAUGAAUCUGUAAUCUGAAUCUGCAAGCGUUUUUGUCUUGUUUGUAUUUAAAGUUAGUAAUUCAAUUAUGUACAUUUAAAUGCAAAAUUAUAUUUAUUCUCCUGUACAUACAAGUUUAAUGUAGAUAUCAAAUUUUUUGUAUGUAAUGUAUUUACCUACGACUACGAUUAUACACACACUCACACACACACACAUGCAUACUUUCGACCGAGACGUACACAGGAAAUCCGAACCCAAAAAAAAAAACAAAUACUUAAACUUGAAUAGCAAACAAAUGAUUCGCAUUUUGAAUACCUAAGGAUUUUUUCAUUCAUUCGUGUAUAUUCGAGCGAAUACUCGCCCUCUCUCUAUCUGUCCCUCUCCUUCUUUUGAUUAAUCGAACAUAAACCACUACUAAAGCUAAAAUAAAACAAUAACUAAUAGCAAUAGUACUGCAAGAUCAAAACCCAAUACAAUACCAAUAUACAAUAUACACAGCCUCAAUCAUGACCAGCUGCAUACAUACCAUACGUAUCUAUGUAAAUUAGAGUCUGUGUCUGUACAGACUUUGACGAGGUAGCGGAACAUUACUUUAUUUUCUGAUACACAACAAUAUACGUGUACGAACGAGCCUCAUUUUCAUUUCUCAGAGAACUUACUUUAACUUCAGGAACAUGCCGUGGCAUCUGCUCUUUGAAGGUUAAAACUGUUUCGAUUCGUUCGCAAGAAAAGUCUGUACAUGAUGUGAGGUGUAGGCUAGGCUAGUGUAAAUGAAGAUGAUGAUGAUGAUGAUCAUACCUGAUAGAUAAUCCUCGUUUAAAUAGUAUACAUGCAUAAUCGAUAUCGCCUAUCUAAUCUUGCCUUUACGAGCAAAAGCCUUAAAACAUUGCCAUUUUAUUAUUCGAAAAUAUGAAUCUGCUUAGUCUGAUUGCAUUUUUAUUUAAUUUUCAAUUUUUUCGGUAUAUCCGUAGCGACGUAUACAUAUAUGUAUGUAGAUACCAGUAUCCGUAUACCUCUCCAGCUCAUGCAAAAUGGAAAUGUGAAUCUCAUGCACACACAUACACACCUCCACCUCCCUCACUCGAUAUCGAAAUCAGCAUCACAUUAACGCAGGCAUAUAGCAGAAACAGCAUUAUCACUGCAGUCAUUAAGACAGUAAGACAACAAAUGAUUGACUAAUAAGAUCCUAAAUCAAAACAACCAGUUAGUGUAUAGAUAGACGACGAAUCAUGGGUUACAUGACGGACAUGAACAUGACGACGGGAUAUCGAAGAGCGCACAAAUAUUGUAAUUUAAACAAAAAAGUGAAUCCAUAACUUAAGUAAAUAAUUAUAACCGCUGAGCAGUUAUGCGAAUUUACACAGCAAAUGUACUUACGAUAACGAAUACGAAUAUGAUUAUGAUUACGAUUACGAGAGUAGGGUUUUAGGAGGCAUACAUACAGAGAAGGUGCAUAAAAGACGACAACCAAGAAAAGCAAACACCAAACCGAAACCAACUUAGCCAUGUUCACUACAGCAAUGUACUAUAAUUAAUUAUACAUAUUACGAGUAAAACUUAGCAAUACGGAAAAUACCGACAAAACCAAAAAAAAAAAAAAAAAAAACCGGAAAACACGAAAACCGAAUACAGCAAAACUGAGAAAUAGAAAUGCAUACAUUUUUAAUAAUUAUAUUAUAUUACGGAUACAUACAAGAUCGAUUUAUAAAUAUACACUCACAAGCAUACAUAUAUGUACAUGCAUAAUUAUACAAUUUACAAUACAAUAGUCUAUAAACUAGUGUCAAACAAAAAACAAAACAAAAGGAAACCAAUCCAAAACCAAAACCACAACAAAAACCAAAAGAAUCCAUAGCUUAACAAUGGGAAAAAAUUACAAGAAAUGAAAUCUAAUAUCUGAUAUAGAAAAUCGCUCGCUCGCCAAUCUGCUUGCCUUACAUACAGUUCAGUACAGAACAGUACAGUACUAAAUGUAUUACUCGUGUUUUUCCAAGGUGCCACCCUUUGACUACUUCCAAAAAACAACAUCAACAAUAUUUGUAAUUGUAAUUCCGAUUUAUUAUUCUGUUGUCCAUUCAUUGAGUUAAACGUACGCUACGAAUCUAUUCCUUUUCGAAUCCUUUAUCGUAGGCUAAGAUCGUGUCCACAUUUCGCUCUGCUUGCUUAGGCCAUCCAUCAUCCUCAUGGCUGUGGGUGGAGUGGAGUGUAGAGUUCUUGGUGAGGCAGCUAUUGGCUUCAUUUCGCUAUUAAUGCCAAAAAAAAAAAAA